UACGGGGGGGGGCAAGUGUUGUUCGGAAUUACUGGGCGUAAAGGGCUCGUAGGCGGCCAACUAAGUCGGAUGUGAAAUCCCCAGGCUUAACCUGGGAACUGCAUCCGAUACUGGAUGGCUUGAAUUCGGGAGAGGGAUGCAGAAUUCCAGGUGUAGCGGUGAAAUGCGUAGAUAUCUGGAGGAAUACCGGUGGCGAAGGCGGCAUCCUGGACCGGCAUUGACGCUGAGGAGCGAAAGCCAGGGGAGCAAACGGGG
rnacentral:rRNA from 1 species